rnacentral:lncRNA from 1 species
UUUCUCUUUCCAAUUAACACGGAUGUGACAAACCCCUGCCCCAGCGGAACGAAGAAUACAUUUGUGUCCCUUCACCCUUGCCGGGGUGGCCGCGGGCCGCUCUCGGGAAGCUCUGAAGCUCCUUAUUUCCUCGCAUUUGCUCACACGUCCCCUCACUCUCCCUCACUUCCCGGCCCGCCAAGAGAAGAAGCGGUGCCGGCCGCAGGGCCCAGCAGGCGGCGCUGCCGCUCUCUAGCUGUCCCUGGUGCGCGGUGUUCCCCCGGGCCCCUGCGGUGUGUGCCCCGCUCCCCGGCCACUGCCCGCCAUGUUCAAGUCAGUGCCGCCGGAGCUGGGAGGAAAGAGCCAUCAAAGCCGGGCUCCGAGCAGCGCUGCCGCACGUCUGCAGCAAUUGUGCCACUCUUGGCAGUUGCAGGUGACAACCCUACCAAGCGCCCAGGAGCAGAUGAGAAGUUUAUGGGCUGUUAAUAAACUGUAACCAAUCGGUGAAUGCUGGCGGGUUGUGUUCAAGCUGUUUGGGGCCACAGGUCCUUGGGAGAGCUUGCACUUGCUCUGCCUUUAUUUCAACAUAGCAGAAACAUUAAAGCAUGUGGCAGACUCUCGAUGUUUGUUACAGUGAAUAGACAUAUGUCCCUCACACUAGCAUGUAGAAUAUCUAAUUAAGUCACACAAUGAUAGCUUAUACCCAGGGGCAGUUGCAAACAAGACGCUGUCACACUCUUAAGAACACAAACAAAAUGAAAAUUGCCUCUUUAUACAUUAUAAUGAAUAUGUUUUCAACGCAUUAGAAGUUCAUUUACUAACAGACUCGGUGUGACCGAGAGGAUUUCUGCGAGCAUCCUUUCGUUUUUCUGAAGGACCAUUUUGCACGGUCAGGAUUAGGGGCAGUUUGUUAACCGAGCUGCUAAGUGUUCUUCCCCCACGGACUUGAAAGUAGAAAUGAAACCUUAGUGCUGUGCUUCCUGCGAUGUUCCACACAAACCUCGCUUCUCAGAGUUCACCUCCACGGGGUUCUCCCUUCUAUAGGACACACGUGCCACGAGUGGGUGUUUGCCUUUCCCCUUCUCCCCUUUGCUUUCCUUGUCUCCCCUGUUCUUCACCAGCAUUUGGCAUUUUCGUGUGCGAGUGAAAACCCCCCUCUGGAUCGUAGGAUGGCUGUAGGGGCUGUUUCCCACCACUGCCAGGUGAUGGCACGGAAGGAUCUGAAUAACACUGGGGCUGUAAGCUCUGUCCCUGUGCGGGUUUUCCAAUCAGAUGGGCAAUGCUUCCUUCCUUCCCACAGUAUCGUUACAAGUGACAGCCCCAGACGUGUCCCCUCUGCACUCUCAGCUCACCUAAGCCAUACAGCGGAGCUGGGUCCUUCCUUGUGAAAGGGGCAGAGGGCACGCGGAGAGAAACUUCAUACUGGGAACAGCCCCGAGCCGUGCUUAGGGACUUGGAACAAAAAGCCCCCUCCCAGAACCCCACUAAUUUCCCACUACAAGGGAUUUUUUUAACGCAACUAAAAUCGUGCCAGGUUUUGUUGAAGGAAAAAAAAAAAACACACACAACAACACAAAAAAAGGAACAGUGAUUCUUUUUUUUUUUUUUAAGUCAGACAAAGAUGUGCAUAAAUAUGUGUCUUAUACAUAUAUGUAUACGUCUUCCUGAAAAUAGCAUUUAACAAAUGCCUGCUGCAUCUGCGGGAUUCUCCAACAACCCCGACGCCGCGAUCAAUCUGCAGUCUGCUGAUGGUUGGUGACAGUGAUUGAUUGAUUUUUCCUGCUAAUAGGAUCAACAUUGGGAAUACAUUAAAGUAAAAGGCACGCUUCUGACUCUCAGGAAACACCCCGCGUAUCGGGCCCGGGCCGAUUGUGUUGGUUUUGGCAGCGGGGUUCGGUGAUUGAUGACGGGCAGGGAGCUGAGGGCUGCCCCGAGAGGAGCUCAGCUCCCUGCGUGUGCAUGACACUGGGACGGGAACACGCAUCAGCGGGGACAAAGGAGCGGGGUGGCCCGUCCCGAUAACCUCUUCUAAUGCAUAUGGUGGGAUCUGACCUGCCAGUUCAAGGAGUGGAGGCGAAAAGCUGAUGGGAAAUUGAUUCUCAGGAGUUUGUCAAGACAUCUCCAACAAGUGAAGAUAAAUGGGGGAACAAAACUUCUAAAGACAAUCCCAAGAAUAGGGAUGAAUGCAAGAAGGGAAACGCUAUUUUGCAUUUACAUCCAUCUUUUAGGGCAAAAGGCUCCGGGGUGAGCGCUGUGCUCUUGCAGCAUCUCAGCUCGGUGGCACCGCUAGAAAUUGUCGCCCCUUCCGUACCCCGCGUGUGUGCGGGCAGAGCCCCGCACUGCUGCUGUCGGGGGGUUGCAGGCCAUCGGGGCACACGGAACAUCCGUCUAUCCUUGUGGAGGUGCAAAAAGCAGCCCCGGCUCCCGGGCAGCAAGGACCUCGGGGCUGUACCACUCCCGCAGCUCUUGUCCCUGCCGUGUCCCAGCACUCGUGCCGUGCCCGGCUCCUGACUCGAACGUGGGGAGACUGCAAGGAUGAGGCGUGAGGCGUUCUCCCUCACCUCGGGGAACUGAGGUGCAGAGGUGCGGUGCCUC